CUUUAGGAAAACAUCUUUGUGUAAUGAUACAAUUUAUUACAAUUAUUUUUUAUAUCUAAAAAUUUAAGUGUGUGUGUGUGUCUGUGUGUCUAUAAUUAUAUAAAGAGCUUUACAUUUUUUGUGUAUAUAUAUUUUUUUAAGGUUUAAUAACCUGACUCCAGUCCUCUCUAGCUGUUUUCGUGCUGUGUGUGUGUGUGUAUGUGUGUGUGAGAGCGCUAAUGGUCCUGGGACUUUGGUUGUUAUGGUGUGAAGCUCCACCCUGGAACGAGACGAUCCACAAACAAAGUGAUGCUCAGCGCAGCUGAAAGACACGAAUCACCAGACGAGAAAACUUCCUAGAAACGGAGAUCAGAAUGCUGAAGUGGACUCUGGUGGUGGUGUGUGUCAGUGUGUGUUUGGGUCAGAAUCCGAUCAACACCGACCCAGACGAAGAAACCGAACUGACCUCUGAUCAGCACGACCGCAUCAUUCUCAAACAAACCUAUGUUCAUAUGAUGAAGAACAAUAAUAAGCUGGGUGUGUUCAUCGCUGCCGCUAUAGGAACUCUGACGCUGAUGGCGGUGAUCUACUGCAUCUACAACCAGUUUUACAGCCAAAACAUUUACUCACACACUCAGCUGCAAGAAUCAGAUAUCGCUCUGGAUCUGAGCAGCUCGUCCUCGUCUGUGUUUUCUGGGUAUGUGAUGGAGGGAUGGAUGCAGCAGAGGAUGGAGAAAGGAGGAGGGAGCUACGGCUCUCUCUCUGACACUCCUUCAAUAAUCACGCUCCCUCCUCCUCUUUCACCUCCUCAGCGUGCGUCUCCCUUUCACUCGCUCUCUCGAUCCAGACCACCACCUCUGAGGACUAUUUCAGCCCAGGAUCUGGAGAAGAGCUUCAUCUGAGACUGUGUGGGUGUGUGUGUGUGUGUGUGUGUGUGUGUGUGUGUGUGUGUGGGUUUAGUUUACAGCUGUAUGCUGAAGUGAUGUGGCUCCUGACUUAUAUGGCUUUCUAACCUCUGCUAUAAACACUCAAACCUGACCUUUAACCUUUCCAGAUUUGAAUGCUGGUCUGCAGUUAAUGUGCUUGAUGUAACCAUCUUUAAAUAUUUAAUCAUUAGAAUGUUCUAUUCUCUCUAGUGUGUUCUAUUAAGCAUGCUGUUGGUUUCUGUUAGUAAUUUUCUAUUCUAUUAUUACGCAAAAUGUAACAUUGCUUACAUAUUUUGCUAUUAUAUUCUAUUAUACUCUGUUUUAUUAUUUUGUUUACGUCUAUUUACUCCAUUCUGGUUUUUUUUAAUCUCCCUUGUUUUAUUCCGUUCUGUUUUCC
rnacentral:lncRNA from 1 species